UCCCCGAUGGCACAAUUGGCUAGCGCGUCAGACUGUUACGAUCGGAAUCGGUUGAAAUGUCAAUCGAGAUGGUCAUCUGGAGGUUGGUGGUUCGAGCCCACCUCGGGGAG
rnacentral:tRNA from 1 species